rnacentral:rRNA from 1 species
UACGUAGGGAGCGAGCGUUGUCCGGAUUUAUUGGGCGUAAAGAGCUCGUAGGCGGUUUGGCAAGUCGGAUGUGAAAGCUCCGGGCUCAACUCGGAGACGCCAUUCGAUACUGCCAUGACUAGAGUCCGGUAGGGGGGUGUGGAAUUCCCAGUGUAGCGGUGAAAUGCGCAGAUAUUGGGAGGAACACCCGUGGCGAAGGCGGGUCCCUGGGACGGUACUGACGCUGAGACGCGAAAGCGUGGGGAGCGAACAGG